rnacentral:rRNA from 1 species
AACGAACGCUGGCGGCAUGCCUAACACAUGCAAGUCGAACGAAGGCUUCGGCCUUAGUGGCGCACGGGUGCGUAACGCGUGGGAAUCUGCCCUUUGCUUCGGAAUAACACAGAGAAAUUUGUGCUAAUACCGGAUAAUGUCGCAAGACCAAAGAUUUAUCGGCAAAGGAUGAGCCCGCGUAAGAUUAGGUAGUUGGUGGGGUAAUGGCCUACCAAGCCGACGAUCUUUAGCUGGUCUGAGAGGAUGAUCAGCCACACUGGGACUGAGACACGGCCCAGACUCCUACGGGAGGCAGCAGUGGGGAAUAUUGGACAAUGGGCGAAGGCCUGAUCCAGCAAUGCCGCGUGAGUGAUGAAGGCCUUAGGGUUGUAAAGCUCUUUUACCAGGGAUGAUAAUGACAGUACCUGGAGAAUAAGCUCCGGCUAACUCCGUGCCAGCCGCCGCAGUAA